rnacentral:rRNA from 1 species
CCUACGGGUGGCAGCAGUGGGGAAUAUUGGACAAUGGGGGCAACCCUGAUCCAGCCAUGCCUCGUGUGUGAAGAAGGCCCUCGGGUUGUAAAGCACUUUCAGUGAGGAAGAACGCCUGGUGGUUAAUACCCAUCAGGAAAGACAUCACUCACAGAAGAAGCACCGGCUAACUCCGUGCCAGCAGCCGCGGUAAUACGGAGGGUGCGAGCGUUAAUCGGAAUUACUGGGCGUAAAGCGCGCGUAGGUGGCUUGAUAAGCCGGUUGUGAAAGCCCCGGGCUCAACCUGGGAACGGCAUCCGGAACUGUCAAGCUAGAGUGCAGGAGAGGAAGGUAGAAUUCCCGGUGUAGCGGUGAAAUGCGUAGAGAUCGGGAGGAAUACCAGUGGCGAAGGCGGCCUUCUGGACUGACACUGACACUGAGGUGCGAAAGCGUGGGUAGCAAACAGGAUUAGAUACCCCUGUAGUC